GUCAGAAUGGCCGAAUGGUCGAAGGUGCUAGCCUUAAGUUCUGGUCCUACUUAGGGGGGUGGGUUCAAACCCCGCUUUUGACA
rfam:Glycine max cultivar Williams 82 chromosome 2, whole genome shotgun sequence.